UGAGGAAUAUUGGGUCAAUGGACGGAAGUCUGAACCAGCCAAGUAGCGUGCAGGAUGACGGCCCUAUGGGUUGUAAACUGCUUUUAUGUGGGAAUAAAGUCAGGGACGUGUCCCCUGUUUGCAUGUACCACAGGAAUAAGGACCGGCUAAUUCCGUGCCAGCAGCCGCGGUAAUACGGAAGGUCCGGGCGUUAUCCGGAUUUAUUGGGUUUAAAGGGUGCGCAGGCGGCGCGCCAAGUCAGCGGUCAAAGUUCCGGGCUCAACCCGGUGUCGCCGUUGAAACUGGCGUGCUCGAGUGCGUGCGAGGAAGGCG
rnacentral:rRNA from 1 species